rnacentral:rRNA from 1 species
GACGAACGCUGGCGGCGUGCUUAACACAUGCAAGUCGAGCGGUAAGGCCCUUUCGGGGGUACACGAGCGGCGAACGGGUGAGUAACACGUGGGUGACCUGCCCUCAGCUCUGGGAUAAGCCUGGGAAACCGGGUCUAAUACCGGAUAUGACUCCAUGACGCAUGUUGUGGGGUGGAAAGCCUUGUGCGGCUGAGGAUGGGCCCGCGGCCUAUCAGCUUGUUGGUGGGGUGAUGGCCUACCAAGGCGACGACGGGUAGCCGGCCUGAGAGGGCACCGGCCACACUGGGACUGAGACACGGCCCAGACUCCUACGGGAGGCAGCAGUGGGGAAUCUUGCGCAAUGGGCGAAAGCCUGACGCAGCGACGCCGCGUGAGGGAUGACGGCCU